rnacentral:lncRNA from 1 species
ACUGAUGAUCACUGUCGGGUAAGCUAGACUUUCUUAUGGUUUACUGAUGACUCCAUUUUAUGUCAUUUAAUUAAAAUUUAAAGCAAAGGGACACCUGGUCAAGUAUGAUGAGAAAGCCUUACUCAACCAAUCAACAAGGAAUAGGUGACCCCAAAGGGACACCUGGUCAAUUAUGAUGUUCAAGUAAAGAUGAGAAAGCAUUACUCAACCUAUCAACAAGGAAUAGGUGACCCGUCGAUAAUUUCCUUUUGAAUUCCCAUGUAGCUGGUAUAAUUGGUUUCUGGAUUGUUAUGGCAUCAAAGACUUGAACAUAAAGUGAUCUUUGGGUUACAAAGAUGGUACUAUUUGGUCUUGCUUUUGCUGUUAUCCACUACAUUUAAUAAUCACUCCUGCUGACUUGGUAUUUUAAAAUUGUUUAUUUCUUUGUAAUCCGCCCC